AGGAGGAGGAGAAGGACUAGAAGGUCCUUGGCCUUCUCCUCCUCCUCCACCUCCUUCUCCUUCUUCUCUUCUUCUCCUUCUUCUUCUUCUUCUUCUUCUUUCUUUUCAUUUUGCCUAUUUCUUCUCCUCUUCUCCUCUUGUUGGAGCUAAAUUGCCUAAUUAUGUCUUUUUGGUGCUAAAUGGGCUAAUUAUCCCAUUUUAGAGGAAAACAAGCUAAG
rnacentral:lncRNA from 1 species